GCAAUUUUUUCCCUUUCAUACCAUUGAUACCACAAUACCAGCAAAACUGUAAACUGAGCACUUUGUUAACCUCCACAGAGAGCAAAUACAGCAAUCUAGAGUUUAGCCUUUUGUUUAAAGCUGUCCACGUUUGUUUCACACAUGUGCAAUAUGUUUUCCCCUUUCCUGCUCCUUCUCUAAAUUAUCUUCACAAAAAGAAAAUGAGUAAUAACAUUAUUAUUUUUAAGUAUCACAUACUAUUCUAAAUUCUGCGGCUUACCUUAAGAGGGCUCGUAUGGGUCCCCUGAGGCUCUGUUCCUUGCAGUUUUAAAAAAAUAUACUGUUCUUAUAAGGGAAAGUAGAACUGUCUGCAUGUCAUCUAAUGUUAUUAGUGUGAGGCUACACUCUACAUAUUGUAUAUUUGCAAAAUAUAUCAGUGUUACUGUUGAUAUUAGUUGAAGUAAAGUGAUAACAUAUUUCAAUAUGUAGACUUUUCUUCAUACAUCUGUACCAAUAGUAGAGUCUAACUGUAACUUACAGGUUGUUCCAGAAAAGAUAAAGAACCAUUCAAGUACAAACAUCUUUCAGAAACUGCAUCUUUUAAUUAAAACAGAGGUAAGAAUGCUCCUCUUCACUGAGUGACGGAGUCUGUAUUUGUUUCAGAUGCAGAGUUAUACUGUAAGUAAAAUUGCCUGUGUAUGGAAUAAAUGCAGAAUAUGCAGUAGCAGUGGAGAGGAAAAUCUGACUAGCUGUGUUAAUUAACAGUGAAGAUGUUAAAUCUCCCAGAUCUGCCUUUGCUUUAUGUUUACAAACGCCUUUCAUUCAUUUAAAUUAGAGUUACGUAUAAAUCUCCUAAAAGUACACAGUAAGCCACAUUUUAAUACUUGACUACUGAUUUUCCAUGUGCAAUCAAUUAAAUGUUCAGGACAUGUCACAAACAUGCAUGCAAAAAGCCAUUUACACAUGAUUUCAUGUACAUGUGAGGAAAGAGCUUGUGCCUACCCUCUAGGUGCAUUAAGUUGCACGUGUAAAAUCACAGACCAUUUUGCGGCUGGUUUAAAAACCAAAACUGGUCAUACAAGAGCACAGUAUUUGUAAACUAUUGUUUCAAGCCAAUGAGGAGAAAUCAGUGGACUCAAUUUUUCUUUUUUUUUAGACUCUGUGUUUAUAUGUACUUUAAACAAACAAAAAUGUCUUGGUGUCAGCAUAAGUCCUAAGAACUUCGCUGAUUGUUUAGGGUUGUAGUAUAACCUCUCUGACUCCGUCCUUGAUUAACAGUUGCUUAGAGCAGUGUCAAUCAUGCCUAGAAUAGGAAAAUGAUAGUACUUUAACACUGUGUGUGGUUAAGAAAAUUAAUUUUUUCAGCCUGCAGGCAGGAGUAGAAUUGAGAGGGUUUUUUUCUUAAAUGCCAUUGCCAAUUAAAAACUGGUACAGAACUGCAUAAAGUGACCACGUUUCUCUUUCCCCAUAAAUGAUGUGGCAAAGUAGUAAUGCUGAUUUGAAAAAAUGAAAGGAAAACGUAAAGAAUUAAGGUGUGGCAACAAAAAUCUUUUCUGGGACAACAAUCAAAUAUAUAUUUGGGGUUUUUAUUUUUUUAAGUUAAGAAUGAAAUGUAAAACAAUGUAAAAACAAAAAAACAAAGUUCAUCCUAAUAUAAUGUGCGUCUUGUAUUGCUAAAAAAAAAAAAAAAGUCUAACAUACAGUGUAGAAUGAUUUUCCCAUCAUGUACUGCAUGCAGCAGAAGCCUCUUGUUUCUUGAUAAAAUGAGCUGAGAGACAGUCAGCAGAUAUUUAAACAAUGAAUCUCUAGAUGUUGACUUGCUGUUCCAUAUGAAGCUGUGUGUUUUCUGCAGUUAAGCAUGCAUUUUGCUGUUCCGUUGUAAAAUACCAUCGCACUUCUUGCCUGCAAAAUGGAUUAUUGUGUAUAUAUUUAAAAGAAAAGUGGAACCAAUAACAAGAUUAAAUUUGGAAAAGACAAAAAGGGGUGGUGAAAAUGGGACCAGUAGAGGGACUAGAUAAUUCUCUAAAUUGUACAUAGUGUGUAAAUUAGUAUUACUAUAAGUCUGCAGUCACUUUGAGGUUGCCUAUCUCCUGCUAGGAACUUAAAUCAGCUUUGAGUUGUAUUAAACUGUUAGAAUUAGGUCUUGAAUGCAGACUGUUAAAGACUUCAAAAAAACAUUAUGCUUACAAGAAGCUUCUGUUCUGGGGAGGCUUGAGACCCCUUUUGUAACUAUGGGGAAGAAAGGAGUGCUUUCAUUUUAAUAUGCAUUCUGUUUGUAAGUAGUAACACCCUAUUGAUGUAAAACUAUAACUGUGAUCAUGUGGAGAAAUCAAAUAAAUCAUUUAAAACUCUUUGUUUCUCAUUUUCUGUAAUCCAAGAACUUCAACUCUUCAGACUUGAAAUGAAGGAAAUUCCUUCCAAUGGUAUCCUGGCCCUGCUGAAUCAAUUGGAUUUCUGCCACUCACUUCAAAGGGGCCAAGAUGUCAGUCUUCAUCUUAAGUUAAGGAGAAGUUGGUGGAAAUGGUGGUCAGUACUGUGGAGACUGUCAUCCCUUCUCAAUAGGUUUUGAUUUGCUUGGUGGUGCUGUUAAAUAUGUUUAGUUCCAAAGUGUCCUAAAGAGCAAUAAAUACAACACCUAAAUCUGUAAACAAUGAGAGGUAAUGCUGAAGAGGCUUUUUGGUGUUCUAUUUACCAAAACAUUCAAAUGUUGAAAAACAGAAACCAGAUUUUUAAUCUUCUUAAACAUGAGCUGUCCUGUCCUUGAACAUGUUCAAGUGAUCCCGUUAAUCUUUUGGCUGUCCCGUUGCCUUAGGAGCUCAGGUUCAGAUGACUGUGUGCCCUUGACUCAUAAGUGUUGGAAGUUUGUCCUUCCCAGGGAUGCGGGCCUUCAUUCCCUUGUGGAACCUACAUGCCGUGGAUCGAGUUCUGAGAGCAUUCAUGGCUUCCGUGUGCCCACCAGCACGGAACCAUCGUCUUACUUCAGAGAAUCUUGAGUUACUUUGUGGGAAUAGUCGACUAUGACCUAUUUCUGAAUGGCUGUAAUUUCAGGAUGUAUGUCUUGAUCAAUGAUUUUUUUGAUAGACAUUUGUGUGCACGUACACACAACUGCAUGAAUGAAUUGUCGUGCAAUUAGUUAAUUACAAGUUACUUCAAGCUGCUCUCCAGAAGAGAGGGUUACUUUUCAGGUAUUUUCUGUAUUAUUUUGGUUGAAAUAAAGAAAUGCAAUAUUGAAAUGAUGGGAAAACAAAAUAAAUAACUGCAUAGGUUUUAUCUGUGCCUCUCUUCAGGUUUUUAUUGACUUAACAAUGUCAUGAAUUCUAUUAAACUUUUUUUCCAAUUUGCCUUAAUGGUUGUUUUUCAAUCAGGAGUUUCAUAAAAACAGUUGUAGUAGCAUUUUACCAUAUAUUUAUUUGGAGUAUACAUAAUAGUUGUGUGAUGUUUUAUUCAUCAGUUGCAACCUGUGCACAGGUGAGAUUUGGAAGCCCCAAUUAUUUGUAAAUUUGUUGCACAGUAUCGCAAGCCUUGGUUGCACAGGGUCCAGACUAUCUUCCUUAACUGUUGCUUAUCCUUCAGCAUUGCAGGUGGACCUUGAAAUAUUAAGCAACUUCUAGGGUUUUUAUCUGCAGUCAUUCAAAUGACUGUCACAAGAUACCAGAAUUGUGAUGCUGUUAGGAUUGUGUGAUCAAUCAUAUUUCAGCAUGCGUAUGUACUGACAAAUGUCUCUGCAGAAGAUGAACAAUGUACUUACAGUAACAUGCCAUAAUAAGUCUUUACUGGUAUUAUAGCUGCAUUACAUACACCUUUUUCAAAAGGAAUCAUACUGGAUUUUUAGCCUACUUACUAGCCUCUUAGCGAUUUUUGUUACUGUAUUUUACUGAUAUAAAAUGCCUAGAGGAGAACAUAGUACAGCUAACGUGAUAGAAAAAACUAAUAUAUACAAAUGAUGGGAAAAUGCUUCAUUUUAGGUGUAUUUUUAGUAGACUCUUUUUGUUUCUUAUGAUUUCAAGAAUUAAAACCAAAUCCUGCAUUACUUGGCAAAACUAAAUCAACUGCAGGAUGAGGCUGAUCAUGAACAUUAAGAAACACUUAAAUUAAGAUCUCUGCUUAAAGUACUUCCUAAGCUAAAUAGGAGUUAAAUGAAAGUUGUGUGGGUGAUGCUGACUUGAAACCAUCACUUUUUUCAACUGGUUAGAUUUAUUAUUUUUACCGUAUGUAUAAAUGCAUAUUUUUAGGAAUAAAAUGUUAUAGAAAAAAAUCCCCUUUAUUUAGCUUUUUUGCAAUAACUGAGAUGUGAAAUUAGUAUCACGGUUCACAAGACACAACCAUCUCAAAUCAUAGAAGCAGAGAAUUUAUCAGCUCUGUUGUUAAAUGACAUUCACAACUUCAGCUUUCAUUUAUUUUUUUCAUAUUUAGACACAGUGAUUUAAACAGGUAUAUAUAAUGAGCAAAGAAAAAAUAAUCUGCCUUUAGUGAGAUGAAUAGGGUAAAUUCAUUCUAAUGCAAAUGUUAUGCAUGCAUAGUGAAAACUACUUUCUCUACAGCUUCUCAUUUCUGCUACAAAAUAAUACAUUAAGUGUAGACAAAGAAAUGGGCUUUAUUUUUUGUCAAAGGAAAUGGAAAAAGCAAGGACUAUGCAGGUGUUCUGGGUUAGAGGAGGCUGUUAUUCAGCAAUGGUAUCACAGUAAACCAAAGCUGGAAAUUAGUUAAUUAUUACCACUAUAAUUUUUUUUUUUUAAAUGAGGAAACACUCUGACUUUCGGACAUGGAGUUUCCUCAUCUUUGAAUCCAGCUGGACUAUGCGCAGCCUUUCAUUUGUGCGCAAUCCUUGGAGAGGAACACACCGUUCCUGGAGCUGUACCAGCCAGUGGGCUCUCUCCCUCCUGAGGCCCCCACGCACCAGGCCUGGCUGAGCCGUGGGCCAGGCCAGAGCACGGUGUCUUUUGUGAGCGUGGGAGAGCAAAAGCUGCA